UGCAGUAUUGAGCAAUUGGUUAGCUUGACGGGCUCAUAAUCCGUAUGUGCUGGUUCAAAUCCAGCUGCUGCAC
rnacentral:tRNA from 3 species